rnacentral:rRNA from 1 species
UCUCCUUUUUCCAAUCAGUGAAACUAAUCUCCCCGUGAAGAAGCGAGGAUACUAUUAUAAGACGAGAAGACCCCAUGGAGCUUCAAACCCAACUGCACCCCCAAUUUAUAUAACCUCUAAAUCUCUGGGAUCCUGCACCGUUGGUUUUAGGUUGGGGCGACCACGGAGUACAACAAAACCUCCACAAUGAACGGGACUAUUCCCUUAUCUAAGAGUUACAUCUCUAAGAAUUAAUAUAUUAAUAUAAAAUGAUCCAUUUUUUGAUCAAUGAACCAAGUUACCCUGGGGAUAACAGCGCAAUCCAUUUCAAGAGCCCCUAUCGACAAAUGGGUUUA